AUUGAACGCUGGCGGCGUGCCUAACACAUGCAAGUCGAGCGGUAACAGGUGUAGCAAUACAUGCUGACGAGCGGCGAACGGGUGAGUAAUGCUUCGGAAUCUACCCAAUGGUGGGGAAUAACCAGCCGAAAGGUUGGCUAAUACCGCAUACGUCCCACGGGAGAAAGCAGGGGAUCGCAAGACCUUGCGCCAAUGGAUGAGCCGAAGUCGGAUUAGCUAGNGGUAGGGUAACGGCCUACCAAGGCGACGAUCCGUAGCUGGUCUGAGAGGACGACCAGCCACACUGGGACUGAGACACGGCCCAGACUCCUACGGGAGGCAGCAGUGGGGAAUAUUGGACAAUGGGGGAAACCCUGAUCCAGCGACGCCGCGUGUGUGAAGAAGGCCUGCGU
rnacentral:rRNA from 1 species